GAAAAGCCACUAAGCUUCAGCUGUAGAAGAACCGUACCGCAAACCGACACAGGUAGGCAGGGUGAGAAUCCCAAGGCGCUUGAGAGAACUCGGGUGAAGGAACUAGGCAAAAUGGCACCGUAACUUCGGGAGAAGGUGCGCCUCUUGGUGUGGUCACGUGCGUGACUGAGCAUCGAGGGGUCGCAGUAACCUGGCCGCUGCGACUGUUUAUCAAAAACACAGCACUCUGCAAACACGAAAGUGGACGUAUAGGGUGUGACGCCUGCCCGGUGCUGGAAGGUUAAUUGAUGGGGUCAGCCGCAAGGCGAAGCUCUUGAUCGAAGCCCCAGUAAACGGCGGCCGUAACUAUAACGGUCCUAAGGUAGCGAAAUUCCUUGUCGGGUAAGUUCCGACCUGCACGAAUGGCGUAACGACAGCGGCGCUGUCUCCACCCGAGACUCAGUGAAAUCGAAAUCGCUGUGAAGAUGCAGCGUUCCCGCGGCAAGACGGAAAGACCCCGUGAACCUUUACUAUAGCUUUACACUGAACGUUGAGUUCUUCUGUGUAGGAUAGGUGGGAGGCUAUGAAACCAGGACGCUAGUUCUGGUGGAGCCAUCCUUGAAAUACCACCCUGAAGUGCUUGACGUUCUAACCUAGGUCCGUAAUCCGGAUCGGGGACCGUGUAUGGUGGGUAGUUUGACUGGGGCGGUCUCCUCCCAAAGAGUAACGGAGGAGCACGAAGGUACGCUCAGCGCGGUCGGACAUCGCGCACUGUGUGCAAAGGCAUAAGCGUGCUUGACUGCGAGAUCGACGGAUCAAGCAGGUACGAAAGUAGGUCUUAGUGAUCCGGUGGUUCUGUAUGGAAGGGCCAUCGCUCAACGGAUAAAAGGUACUCCGGGGAUAACAGGCUGAUACCGCCCAAGAGUUCAUAUCGACGGCGGUGUUUGGCACCUCGAUGUCGGCUCAUCACAUCCUGGGGCUGUAGCCGGUCCCAAGGGUAUGGCUGUUCGCCAUUUAAAGUGGUACGCGAGCUGGGUUCAGAACGUCGUGAGACAGUUCGGUCCCUAUCUGUCGUGGGCGUUGGAGAUUUGAGGGGGGCUGCUCCUAGUACGAGAGGACCGGAGUGGACGUUCCGCUGGUGUUCGGGUUGUCAUGCCCAUGGCAUUGCCCGGUAGCUACGAACGGAAGUGAUAACCGCUGAAAGCAUCUAAGCGGGAAGCACGCCCCAAGAUGAGAUCUCCCGAGAGCUUGACUCUCCUAAAGGCACCAUCAAGACUAGGUGGUUGAUAGGCACGGUGUGGAAGUGCGGCAAUGCAUUGAGCUUACGUGUACUAAUGAGCCGUGAGGCUUGAUC
rnacentral:rRNA from 1 species